rnacentral:ncRNA from 1 species
GCCACCAGAGGUAGAAAGAACCCGUCGCUAUACACCGAUCCGUCAGGGUUGGCAAAGCUCGAAAGGGCUAUGAGAGAUGCGGGGGUGGCGGUCCUGCCUGGUGGU